rnacentral:rRNA from 1 species
UUGACGGGGCCGCACAAGCGGCGGAGCAUGCGGAUUAGUUCGAUGCAACGCGAAGAACCUUACCAAGGCUUGACAUACACCGGUAACGCCCAGAGAUGGGUGCCCCUUUGUGGUCGGUGGACAGGUGGUGCAUGGUUGUCGUCAGCUCGUGUCGUGAGAUGUUGGGUUAAGUCCCGCAACGAGCGCAACCCUCGUCCUAUGUUGCCAGCGGGUCAUGCCGGGGACUCAUGGGAGACUGCCGGGGUCAACUCGGAGGAAGGUGGGGAUGACGUCAAAUCAUCAUGCCCCUUAUGUCUUGGGCUUCACGCAUGCUACAAUGGCCGGUACAAAGGGCUGCGAUACCGCGAGGUGGAGCGAAUCCCAGAAAGCCGGUCUCAGUUCGGAUUGGGGUCUGCAACUCGACCCCAUGAAGUCGGAGUCGCUAGUAAUCGCAGAUCAGCAACGCUGCGGUGAAUACGUUCCCGGGCCUU